ACCGGCGGGACCAAGAGCAGGUAGUCAGGCCCAAAAAGGUCAAAAACCCGCCGGGAUACCUAUGUCUAAAGACCUUCGCGGGUUGUUUGGUCGUAAAGCGCGUAUAGGGGGUUAAAGAAGUCUGAUGUGAAAAUAGCAGGUCUAAAAUCCUUAGUGCGUCGGAAAAUUGUGUAACUAGAGUACUGGAAGUGGUUUGCGGAACUACAACUGUAGAGGUGCAACCUAGUCGAUUUUCUAGGAAACCCGAUCGGAACCCAGCUUACUUUCAAGUUCUUUGCUGAAGCCAACAGCGUGCAAGCAAACCGG
rnacentral:rRNA from 1 species